UACGUAGGGCGCGAGCGUUGUCCGGAAUUAUUGGGCGUAAAGAGCUCGUAGGCGGCCUGUUGCGUCCGCUGUGAAAGCCCCGGGGCUUAACCCCGGGUCUGCAGUGGAUACGGGCAGGCUAGAGGUAGGUAGGGGAGAAUGGAAUUCCCGGUGUAGCGGUGAAAUGCGCAGAUAUCGGGAGGAACACCGGUGGCGAAGGCGGUUCUCUGGGCCUUACCUGACGCUGAGGAGCGAAAGCGUGGGGAGCGAACAGG
rnacentral:rRNA from 1 species